rnacentral:rRNA from 1 species
CGUGCAGGCGGUCGCGUAAGUGGUGCGUGAAAGCGCCCGGCUCAACCGGGCGAGGCCGUGCCAAACUGCGUGACUGGAGGCAGGUAGAGGCGCGUGGAAUUCCGGGUGUAGUGGUGAAAUGCGUAGAUAUCCGGAGGAACACCAGUGGCGAAGGCGGCGCGCUGGGCCUGACCUGACGCUAAGACGCGAAAGCAUGGGGAGCGAACG